CACGUAGGGUGCGAGCGUUGUCCGGAAUUAUUGGGCGUAAAGAGCUCGUAGGCGGUGUGUCGCGUCGGCCGUGAAAACUUGGGGCUUAACUCUGAGCGUGCGGUCGAUACGGGCAUCACUUGAGUUCGGCAGGGGAGACUGGAAUUCCUGGUGUAGCGGUGAAAUGCGCAGAUAUCAGGAGGAACACCGGUGGCGAAGGCGGGUCGUCUGGGGCCGGAU
rnacentral:rRNA from 1 species